GAUGAACGCUGGCGGCGUGCCUAAUACAUGCAAGUCGAACGGAGGAUGUAGCAAUACUUCCUUAGUGGCGAACGGGUGAGUAACGCGUUGGUGACCUGCCCCGAAGAGAGGGAUAACAGUUCGAAAGAACUGCUAAUACCUCAUGUGGUCAUUAGGGUUUGAGACCUGAUGAUUAAAGGAGUAAUUCACUUCGGGAGGGGCCUGCGUCCCAUCAGCUAGUUGGUAAGGUAACGGCUUACCAAGGCGAUGACGGGUAGGGGACCUGAGAGGGUGGCCCCCCACAAUGGAACUGAAACACGGUCCAUACUCCUACGGGAGGCAG
rnacentral:rRNA from 1 species